rnacentral:lncRNA from 10 species
UAUUGAAUUCACUUGGCUUUGGGAUACAGUCUUGUUACAUCCGGGUCCUGGAGGCACACAUGCUAUGUAUAUUUGUAACAGAUUCACACACAUGAUUGGGCCAGUAAUCUUGACCACAACCUCCAGGAAGUAUGAACUUAACAUCUGUAAGAAAAGCACAAAUGUUGCUUCUCUGGUUAGCUAUGACUAGUAAUGGCUCCACUUUGCUAGAAGUUCCUGAUGUAACACAUCUUAAUCCAAAAUACGCCUCCCCCCUACCCCCAGUAUAUGGAGAAUAGCUAACAUUCUUCCUUUUCCUCUUAGAAGGUGGAUUAGUACCACCUGUCUCAGCUAACGUUCAUGGGAUUCAGCAGGAAAAACAGUAUUAUGAGGGGAAAGCUUCUUUGAAUGCAGUAUUUUAGGAUUAUUUCUUUGGUUGCUAAACUGCUACCUUUGUAUUGAAAGGUGAUGAGACAUUUUCUGGCUGAGAGACAGAGAUAUCCUAGAAAGGUGUCAAGUUAAAAGAGGGCCGAUGAAAGGACUUGAGCCACAGCCAUCGGAGGAGGGUAUGGAUGGCUGCAAGCCCACAGGCCACCUGUUGAAGAGAGGAAAAAAAAAACAGAUUUCAAAUGUGCCCGUGGACUUCGAGCUGGUGCGUUCAGUGGCAAAGCUGGAAUUCAAAUCUCAGGGCUCCUGCUCUGGGCUUCUUCUCCAUGAAACUUGGAGGAAAAGAAAAAGGAAGACACUCUUACUGGUCAGAGGAGAGAACACAAUUCCUUCAGUGGAACCAGUAAUUCAAGCUACUGCAUAUGCCAAUUAAAGACCAAUCUGGGGAAAGGUGGAUGCCCUGGGCUCCAUCUGCCAUUCAACCACUGAUUACGGCCUUGUACGGAUGGACUUUCAGCAGCAGGAACCCAAAAUCAUUGGUGAAAUAGGAAAGCUAUUGUACAGAUAUUAGAAAAAUAAGACCUUCACAGUCAUCAGAAAAGUUAUCACUUAAUGUCAUGUGUCAUCAGUCCUUUCUUGUGAUUGAUUAUGUUUGUAUACAUGCACUUGAAAUGUGUUUUUAAAAGAGUAUUAUAAGAGAUAUUUUUCCAGUAAGUACAAUAAGCAUUCAAUAGUAGAACAAAUAGAACAUUGAUAUCUCAUUAUUAGUAUUGCUCACAUGUGUAUUAUGAGGCAGAAUUAAAGCUGAAAUGCAAUAAGAGCCAUAUUUUAUCAUAAUAGAUAUUUUUCAUUUUCUGAAAUAAUAUAAUAAAAUAAUGUGGUUGGUUAAAGUAUGUACACACAGGCUAUCAAUUAAGAUGUUUUAAAUUUAAUUAAAUAUUAAAUAAUAAAAGCCACAAGGGGAAGUAAGGGAAGUAAGACAAUUCUUUCUUUAACAUACAACACAUUUAAAUGUUUUCUGAUAAUUAUAGAAAUAUCAAAAUCAGAUCAAUCUUCAUACCUCAGAAAAUUAAAUGAUUAAAUACUGGAGACUAUUAAAACAAAUAAAACUGUUUAUUCCACAACUUUGCACAGCUAAAAAAAAAUCUUCUAUCAUGUCUAGAAACAUGUUUCUGACAUAUGCACACCUCACCAGCAUAUCUCAGGUUAUUAUACACCUCCAACCACAGCCUCACGGUGGCAGGCAGUCAGUAAGAUGGACCCCAGUGAUCCCUGCCUCCUGGUAUUCACAGUCUAGGGUAAUCUCCUUCCCUUGAGUGUGAGCCUGUGGCUUACUUCUAACCAAUAAGAGUACAGCAAAAGCAAUGGGAUGUCAAUUCUGUGAGUAUGUAAAAUUGUAACUUCCAUCUUGCAAGCCAACUCUCUUCUUUGCUGGCUUUCAUGACGCAAUAUACCAUGUUGGAGGGGCUCGCGUGGCGAAGAACUGAGAGGCCUGUAGGAACAAAGUCCAAUAGCCAGGUAGGAAGGAGUCCCUCAGUCCCACAACCCAAGGAAACUGAAUUCUGUCAACUAACACGCAUGUAAGUGAGCUUGGAAGUGACUUCUUCCCCAAGUGAGUCUUCAGAUGAGGUCCUAGCCAACUUUUUGAUUGCAGCUUGUGACAGACCCUGAAGCAAAGGACUCAGCUAAGUUGUGUCCUAAUUCCUCCACUGUGAGAAAAUAAAUGUGUGUUUUUUAAAAUGCUAAAUUUGUGGUAAUUUCUUAUUCAGUAAUAGAUAGCUAAUACAUGCGUGUACAUACAAACACACGCACACACACUGUAUUUGGCUUUCACACUGAGGAGAACACAGUUAGUAGGCCCUUUUCAUGUGGCUUUUAAGGAGGCAUAAUUACUUUUCUUCGUCUGUGAUCCACCUUUGUGUUCUUCAGGUUCUUUUCCAGGCCUUUGCCCCGAGUGUGUGGGGGACCAAAGGGACGUCAUGCUAUAUGGAUGGUAUUGCAAAUUCAUAUCCUUGGAUCUGAAAGUAGUCCUAGAACAUAUCCUAAGGAGAUCAUCUAUCAAGAUUAGAGAAUUUCCUUCAUGAUGUUGUUUAUCGUGGCAAAACUAGGAACAACCUGAAUACCAGUCCCUCCAAGAAGCUAUUGAAUAAUAUGGGUAUCCCUGUUCAGGAAAAAUGCAAACAAACCACUAAAAAGAGUAAAAUAAUCUUUAUUGAUAUGAAAAGAUGUUUAAUGUUUACUAUUACAUUUUUAAAAGAAGUUAAAAAUCUCAUUAAAAACUAGUUUAAAAUCCACUCUUAUUCCAUGCUUGUAUUAUAGAUAAUAUAUAUGUAGUUUUUUUUAAGUAGAAAAAUUUCUGGAAAAACACUUAUUAAAAUGCUAUUUGUUUUCUAUGAAUAGAGUAAAACCAGAUAAGUGAAAGAAAAUACCCGUGUUUUCUAUAUUUUCUACGAUGUUUAUUCCUGAAUAGAUGUUUCAAGGCUUUCAUUAUGUUCAUAGAUUAAUUGAAGUGAAUGGAAACUGUUUCUUAGACAACCUAAAAUAUAUCCCAAUUCCAAAGUCCAGGUCUGUCUUCAUUGCUUCGAGUGCAGUUGUAUGAAAUACUUCUCAGUGAGGCCAAAUUUCUUAAUAAUGAUUAAUUCCAGUUUCAUUUUUCACCCUCUUCAUUCCAUUUGAGAAGAGUAGUGGAAAGGAGUAUGGUACCAUACCCCACACUUUAGACCUAUGGUCUUGUAGAACUUCUUAGGGAUCUACUUUGAUAAAAAUUUAAUUUGCUGGUUACAUCAGAUGAUGUCACACAGUUAAUGAGCAUUCUCUCCUAUGCUGUACCUUCUCUGUUCUACUAAUAUAGCUAUGGUCAAUUUUUCUAUCAUGGAGAAGAAUCUGUGGAUAACUCCUACUAUUUUUCUGGAAGUAAAAAUUUAACUGUUAUGUCGUAGAAAAUUCAAAUAUAUAUGAUUCCUUUGUAUAAACUAUGUACACAUAUGAUUAAUCCAUUGAUUAACACCUGUUUUCAGUAAUGUUAAUGCCAUCUUGAUCAUAACAUUUAAUUAAAAGGUGACAAAUGUUAGUUAAGUAAGCUGGAUACUGUACUCAAUAAAUAUAUAUGCUUUUAGAAACAUUAAAACAC